rnacentral:misc_RNA from 1 species
CUGCUCUGGCAGCGACGACAUCUCCUCCACGUCUCUUCAAUUUUGGCUCAAGUGCUUGCUCCCUCGACCUAUGUUUCCUGCGCGUAAUACCUACUGAUAGGGAAUUGUGUCUGCUACCUUUGUUCUCUUCUUCCCCCGUGCCCUGGCGCCCCUUGGGCGUGAGGGGCGGGGGGGGCACCAUCAAGCGCCUGCCGUGUAUCACCACCCACGCCCUUCGAGGCGAUCGGUCUGUCUACCCAUCACUGGUGAUCUGCUCCUCCUCUACGAUGCAUCACACGGAUCGGGCAUGAGGCCCCUCCCCUCUAUUCAUCCCCUUAAAAAACCCUUCCAGCCUUUGACCGAACGACUGGUCUUUCCCCUUUUUCUCGCAAGCCCCCUGCGGCUCACCCCACGCCGAUGAGGAAUGCUACCAGGAAUGAUCC